GAGUCCACCUUAAUCAGUUACUGCUGCAAUGACCCUAAUUCCAAAUAAGGUCACAUUUUGAGGGACUGGGGUAGGGGAGGUUAGGAUUCUAACAUAAUUUUUUUGAGGGAGGCACAAUUCAAACCAUAACAAAUAGUCUUGUUUGGAUAAGACAUUUUCAGUUACAAAGCCUUACUCAAUGAUUUUGUGUGAUCCUACUGAAGGACUUUGAGUUCGGCAGUCUCCUCAGUUUACAAAUGAGAAAAGAGCACAGAGAGCUCCCAGGAUCCAAGCUACUAAAUGGCAUAGAAGAAAGCACACUUCUGUCUCCUGACCCUACCUUCUGGAGAGUCCUCUCCUCCACCACACCUCUUAUCUCCAUCAGUACAUGCCAAGGCAGAUGCUGAGCAAUCAUUUGUGCCAGGCCCUGUGCUUCCUGCCACAGAGAAGUCAAACAAUGAGGUGCCCAUCCUGCUUGCAGCCUCUUGUAAUUGGCGACAGUGCUAGCAAUGGAUUCAGAGCCAAGAUUCCGAGGUUCAGGGGAAGAUUCUCUACGGGGGUGUGAUCAGCGACAGUUCCCAAGGGAAUGUAGCUGGGAUUCUUCCACCCUGUCUUCCUCCCUUCUUUAACUCCUUAUUUCCUUUCUCUUCUGUUUCGUUUUCUUCUUUCUUCCUCUUUCACUCACCUAACUCUCCCUUUCCUUCUACCAUUUAUUCUCACUCUUUCUUGCAUUUUUUUCCUGAACACCCAUUUGAAACUAUUGACAUAUAUCCUAUGACUAACUUCUUUUAAUGUAGCAAUUCCUGGAGUACAGCCAUUUUGCUCAACAUCAGCUUGUUACAAUGUUGAUGAAAAAAAUCAAUUUCUGUCUGGGUCUGCUGUGUGGAAUUUGCAUGUUCUCCCCACAUCUGUGUGUGUUUUCCCUGGGUGUUUCUGUUGUCUCCUACAUCCCAGAUAUGUGCACCUUAGGUGUCUUGGCAUUCUUCUUCCUGCUACCAUGUGAAGAAGGAUGUGUUUGCUUCCUCUUCUGACAUGACUGUAAGUUUCCUAAGGCUUCCCCAGCCCUGCAGAACUGUGAGUCAAUUAAACCUCUUUCCUUUAUAGAUUACCCAGUCUCAGGUAUUUCUUCACAGCAGUGUGAGAAUGGAGUGAUAUACGUAAAUUUGUACCACAGAGAGUAAGGCACUGCUGUAAACAUACCUGAAUAUGUGAAAGUGACUUUGGAACUGGGUCACGGGCAGAGGUUGGAACAGUUUGGAAGGCUCAGAAGAAGACAGGAAGAUGUGGGAAAGUUUGGAAUUUCCUCAGAGACUUGUGAAAUGGUUUUGACAAAAAUGCUGAUUGUGAUAUGGACAUUGAAGUCCAGGCUGAGGUGGUCUCAGCCUGGAAAAGGUGACUCUUGUUAUGUUUUAGAAAGAGGCUGGUGUCAUUUUGCCUCUGCCCUAGAGAUCAGUGGAACUUUGAACUUGAGAGAGAUAAUUUAGGGCAUCUGGCAGAAGAAUUUACUAAAGAGCAAAGCAAGAUAUUACUCGGGUGCUGUGAAAAGCAUUCAGUUUUGUGUGUUCGCAAAGAUAUUGUUUGAAAUUGGAACUUAUGUUUGAAAAGGAAGCACAUAAAAGUUUGGAAAAUUUGCAGCCUGACAAUGUGAUAAAAAAGCAGAACCCAUUUUCUGAGGAUAAAUUCGAGCUAGCUGCAGAAUUAUGUAAAUAAUGACAAAUGUUAAUCACCAAGACAAU
ensembl:lncRNA